rnacentral:rRNA from 1 species
ACGAACGCUGGCGGCGUGCCUAAUACAUGCAAGUCGAGCGAGCGGAACCAACAGAUUUACUUCGGUAAUGACGUUGGGAAAGCGAGCGGCGGAUGGGUGAGUAACACGUGGGGAACCUGCCCCUAAGUCUGGGAUACCAUUUGGAAACAGGUGCUAAUACCGGAUAAUAAAGCAGAUCGCAUGAUCAGCUUUUGAAAGGCGGCGUAAGCUGUCGCUAAGGGAUGGCCCCGCGGUGCAUUAGCUAGUUGGUAAGGUAACGGCUUACCAAGGCGACGAUGCAUAGCCGAGUUGAGAGACUGAUCGGCCACAUUGGGACUGAGACACGGCCCAA